UUGCACAAUGGGCGCAAGCCUGAUGCAGCCAUGCCGCGUGUAUGAAGAAGGCCUUCGGGUUGUAAAGUACUUUCAGCGGGGAGGAAGGGAGUAAAGUUAAUACCUUUGCUCAUUGACGUUACCCGCAGAAGAAGCACCGGCUAACUCCGUGCCAGCAGCCGCGGUAAUACGGAGGGUGCAAGCGUUAAUCGGAAUUACUGGGCGUAAAGCGCACGCAGGCGGUUUGUUAAGUCAGAUGUGAAAUCCCCGGGCUCAACCUGGGAACUGCAUCUGAUACUGGCAAGCUUGAGUCUCGUAGAGGGGGGUAGAAUUCCAGGUGUAGCGGUGAAAUGCGUAGAGAUCUGGAGGAAUACCGGUGGCGAAGGCGGCCCCCUGGACGAAGACUGACGCUCAGGUGCGAAAGCGUGGGGAGCAAACAGGAUU
rnacentral:rRNA from 1 species